rnacentral:sRNA from 1 species
GCCGGGUGCAGUGGUGCAUGCCUGUAAUCCCAGAGGCUUGGAGGCUGAGGCAGGAGGAUUGAAAGUUGGAGGCCAGACUCAGCAAUGGUGAGGUGCUAAGCAACUUAGUGAGAUCCUGUCUCUA